ensembl:lncRNA
AACAAUAAUGGAAAAUGAAGGAUCUGGAGAAAACACUGAUGAUCUGCUGUCUGCAGGUCAGAAACCAUUGAGAUUUCCCUUUCAUACUUACCCUGUAUCUACUGUAGUACAAACUGCUGUAUAUCUCUUUUCUUCUCAGAGGUGUAUGAGGGGGUUGAUGUUUAUGGGCUUAUACCUCUGCCAUUGUCCCAUGAUCACUGUGAGGUUCUGCUGGACGCCAUAGACACGCAGCUGAGUCAUCUACAGGUCAAGCACUUAUAGUCUGAUGAAAUAUUGAUAACCAUGGUGCAUUAUUUUUGUCAUAGCAAGAGUAGAAUAUUGUCCUGAUUUUGUUUUCCACCAACAGAUCCAUAGCCAAAACCGAAUGCAUGGAGGAAACCCCAAAAGAUAUGAAUUUCCUUUCUCAGGCUAUCUUGAUCGGAGUCAGUCUGUGAGUAAAGACACAGGCUUGGGGAGCACUGUUCCAACCAAUGAUAAAACACCAUCCAACCUUGGCGAGACUCAGUCAGAAGGCAAAGAUGACCAAACAGAACAUCAGACAUUGGAGAUGUUAAAGGUUGGAGUCACAGCUCCAGAUGAGUGGCGUCCUGAGGGAAGUGGCAGCGUGAGCUCUGUGUCCAGGGUAGAGCAGUGUUGUUGGAGACUGGAGAGGCUUCUUGGGAGAAAUGCUGAGGUGGCAGGGAUGGGAAACGAGGAGGAUGACCUCACGAUGGACAGCAUCUGCACUGAGGACUUCUCAACACGCUUUAGAGAGGAAAUGCUGGUCCCGUCGGCCUCAGGUAUCCCUAAUGCAGAGUUUUGAUUCGGUCACCAUAGACACUGAUUUGGAGAGUGUGUGCUCUGAACAGGUUCAGCAGCACCUGAACUCUGCACUUAGCAACAGGACAGUCACGCACUUUGCAAAAUAUGCAGACAAAGUAAACUCUGACCAGGAAUAUAAUGGCAAAUAUGCCUUUCAUCUGAGCAGAGAAAAUGGAUACUGUACAGGACGAACCAACCAAAUUCAAAACAAUGUUCAAUCCUUCAGCUCUGAUGAUGAGAGAACUGUUGAGGAGACGAGUAGUGACGGUGCUGUGUCAAAGCUUGACUACAGAAGAAGGAGACAUUCAUCUGGCAGGAAGGGGAAGAGGAGGCGUUUGUACCAAAACAAAAGGAAUGACUCCUACAUUAGCACAAAGAAAGAUCGGGGCAAGAGCAGAACAGAUGAAGAUCAACUCAAAGAGCUGAGCAUGUCACUUCCUGAGCUUCAACGGCAAAAAACAGCCACACUUUAUACUCUGAAGAAGCUAAGAGAGGAAAUGGAUCAAGCUAAGAGCGAGCAUCACUCUCUCCAGCUCAGUGUGAAGGACAGCAGAGCACAGGCUCAGAACAUCACGUGUGAGCUCCAAAGACUGCAGGCCCAAAGGAACUUAUGCUUGAAGGAGGUCAGGGUUCUGCAGGAGCAACAGUGUGCAAGUCGCAGUGUGUCUGUUCUGGAGAGGGAAGAGAUGGACAGACUGCUGGAUAAUGCCAAGUCAGAACUGUUCUCAGAACAGAGGCGUUUCAGACACAAACUGGACUCUAUGCAUGAGAGGCUGGAUGAGGUGAGUCAGGAGCUGGAGCAGAGCGAGGAGGACUGCAGGGCUCUCCGACAGAAAUGCACUGAGCUGGAGGAGCAGCUGGCUGAUACAAUCAGAGAAAAAGAACAAAUAAAGCAGACUUCUCAGAAAGAUCUAGAGCAGCAGGUGAAGUGUUUUGGAGUGCUGGAGCGAAUCGUUGCUCAGAAGGAGCUGCUUUUGCAGGGAACCGAAGACGCAAAGGAAGGCCUUCUUCAGGAGCUCUGUUCACUGAAAGAGGAGCACAGCUUUCAGCUGAGAGAAAUGCAGAACAAGAAAGAGCAAGAGAUUGAGCAACUGACAUUACAGUUAACCAAAAACCACAAAGAGGAGCUUCAAAAGGUGCAUCAACAGGCAGAUGCUUUGAGAUCAGCUGCUCUCAGUGAACAAGCUCAGACCCACAAACAGAGCUUGGACUUCUUACACAACUGCAUCCAGAUGAAAGAUGAGGAGAUAAAGAGACUAAAAGAGGCUCUAGAGCAGCAUGAGGAGAAGAUGAGGAGGCAAGCAGAGGAACUCAAAAGAGAAACUCAGGAAAAGAUUCGAAAGGCUGUGAAACGAGAGGAAAGGAAAUGGGAGGAACAGAGAGAGAAGGCUCUCAAAGAGCAGCGUGGGUCUCUGGAGCAACAAAUAGAGGAGGCAGUGAAGAGAGGGAGAACAGAAGUGGAGAAGGAGAGAAGGAACGCACUGGCCUUACAGAGUAAAGUGACAGAGCUUCAUAAAGAGGCAGAGAAGGAGGUGGUGCGUCUGAAGCAAACUUUGCAGCGAUCUGAAAAGGAGCUUCAGGAGCUGAGGACAGCCCUCUCUGAGAAAGACCAAAAACACCAGAGAAGAACAGCCAGACUUGAGCAGCAGAGCCGGCGCUGGGCGCAGGACAUACACAGCGAGUGUGUUUGCUUGCAAGAGUUACUGGCUGUUGACAACAAGAACUCAUCAGACAGUCCUACAGUGAGUGAAACUCUUCAGACCCUGCAGACCCUCACAAAGGCCCUACAACAGCAUAUUAAUGAUCUAAAAGAUGAGCUCAACUCACAGAGAUGUGCUGCACUGCAACUCAGCCGAGAAAAGGAACAAGAGCUUCAUCUGCAGAAACAGCAGCUGAUGGAUGAAAAGGAAAGAGCGCUGGCUGCUCUAAAAGAGAAACUCAUACAGGAGCACAUUGAGGAAAUGAGCAGCAUAUCUCGAGCACAGCUGCACAUGAAGCAUGAUGACACAGACGAACUGUGUGUCCAUCUGCGCAGGCAGCUGCAGGCCAAAGAUGAUGAGCUCAGACAGUUGCAGAACAACAUGACACAGUGGAAAGACAAAACCACUGCAAGACUUGCACACAAAUUUGAGCUGGAGCUUAAAGCAGAGCUGGAGAGGAGGGUCCAAAAGCCCAGAGCAGAGCAGCAGAAGAGACUGGAAAGACUGGAGAAUGAGAUGAGACAUCUGACUGGGCAAUGCCAAGACUACAAGGAAUACCAGUUGGCCUCCACUGCUCUUCAGGGUGCUACAGACUUCCAAAACUCUCGAGUCACCAAAGACCCGACCUCAUAUAAACUGCUACAGCACCUCCAGAGUCGCAUUCGUCAGCUUCGAGCAGAGAGCCAAACCCGCUGCCCCAGCCCAGUGAAGUGGGACAGGGAUCCCACAGACCUGGGUGGGUCUUAUUUGGACACGAUUGCUCUAGCCCAGGACAGCUAUAGGACAGAGGAUCAUUUACCAGCGAAGACCGUCUCCAGUUAACAUUUACUUUCCAUUCUCUUGAAUUUAUUUGUCCAUUAGAUUGUUGAUUUUAUAGGAAAACCAUGUACAAGAAUAUAACUUCUUAAACCAUCUCUGUUGAGCUCAUGAUUAGCAAUUUUUUUGUAAUUAUGAUUGUAAUUGAAUAACACUCCAUAAAACAGACAAUUCAUGUUUUUGUAUGAAUGUUCUUUCUGCAUAAAUAAAAUGUCACAAGCACAGAAGUAUAAUGCCA